GUCCGAGUUGUAAUUUUGAGAACUGUUUUCUGUGCUGGACCAUAUACAAGUCUGUUGGAAAACAGCAUCAUUGAGGGUGAUAAUCCCGUAGAUGAUAUGGACUACCAGUGCAAUAUGAUACAGUCUCUAAGAGUCGAGUUGUUUGGGAAUGCAGCUCAAAGAGGGUGGUAAAUUCCAUCUAAGGCUAAAUAUAGGUGAGAGACCGAUAGCAAACAAGUACCGUGAGGGAAAGAUGAAAAGAACUUUGGAAAGAGAGUUAACAGUACGUGAAAUUGUUAAAAGGGAAACAUUUGAAGUUAGACUUGUUAUUAUUGGUUCAGCUUCUCUUUUUUAAUUAGGAGUUUAUUCCAAUGGUUGACAGACCAGCAUCAAUUUUUGAGUGUUAGAUAAGGGUCUUGGAGAAUGUGGCAACUUUGGUUGUGUUAUAGCUCCUGGGCUUGAUAUAAUGCUUAAGAUUGAGGAA
rnacentral:rRNA from 1 species